UGCAUAUCCCAGUGGCAAGGAACAGGGGAAAUUGCUGGACCAGAAAGUAAAGCUUCCAAGAACAAACAGCAUUGGAAGAAAAAUUUGCCUUAAAGCUAUGGUUUCUCAUGUGGAGUAUGACCAAUACUCAGAGAGAAUCACUUCAAACGCUUGCUCCCACACCCCUCAGGUCAGUGGGAAGUUAUUGGCAACAUUCCUUUGGUGUGCCGGCCAAUUUUUUCUACAUCCUGUCAAACCUGCUUCCAGCAUGGUGAUGAGGCUACAAAAUGUUGAGGCUGAAAACCUGGAAAUGCUGAUAACAAGAAGGCCCAGUAUUUCUGUUCUGAGAAAUAAUGAAAGUCUUAGAGGAACAGCCAUCCAAGCCCAAUGAAAGAAACUCAGCUUUCACUCAAGACUUUGAUCGAAUUACGGGAAAAAUAAACGGAGUAAAAUUAAUGCUGGCUCUCACUAAAGCCCAUGCCGAAUUUGGACUGAACAUAGGACCAAUACGAGGAAACCCAAAGCAACAAACAGUACCAGAGGCAGAUCCAGGUUUUGCGAAGUCUGAAGCUUAUUUAAUUUAAAACAAAGGAGUAAAGAACACCUCUUAAUUCAUUGUACAAAACCAGAAAAAGAUAUCACAAGAAAAGGAAACUACAGUCCAGUUUCUCGUGAACAUAGACACACACACAAGUUCAUUAAUCUGUAAGUAUAAUGGACCAUUCCUGAGGGAAAGUGUGCCUUCUAUAAGGAAACUGAGCCUAAAGCCUGCAUAUGUGUUUAUAAUGUGGUGAGUUAAAUUAACGUUAAUACUUAUACAAAUCUAAAAGAAAAUGUGCCAUGACUGCCUUAUGUUUUACCAUUAUUUAAAAAAAAUUAAUUUCCUCAAUAAUUAUAUAUAGAGACUUCUGUUGGUGGAACAGCAAAAUAAUUGUCCCUCUUUGUUAAAGGGAAUGUGCAGUAUGGUCUAUUAAAUACAAAAAAAAAUUGCUAAUAUUGCCAAUGACCUACCUUGGGAAGAGAUGGACUUCAUGUUGGAAGGCUUCAGUUCAAAUUUCAGCCUUUUUGAAUGGAAUGUUGGGAAAAGUAAGCAAGUUAUCUAUUUAUGAAUAGUUUACAAAGUUACCUAUUUAUGAACUCCAGGUAAAUUUCCCACAGAUGUAUCUGUCUUACCAAUUGUCACAUAAUAUUUGUAUUAAUAGCUUAUUUUUAGAAACACAUUCACAAAAAGAUCUGUGAUAUUUUGGAAGAGCACAAAUCAAU
rnacentral:lncRNA from 10 species